AGUGAACGCUGGCGGUAGGCCUAACACAUGCAAGUCGAACGGCAGCACAGUAAGAGCUUGCUCUUACGGGUGGCGAGUGGCGGACGGGUGGGGAAUACAUCGGAAUCUACUUUUUCGUGGGGGAUAACGUAGGGAAACUUACGCUAAUACCGCAUACGACCUACGGGUGAAAGCAGGGGAUCUUCGGACCUUGCGCGAUUGAAUGAGCCGAUGUCGGAUUAGCUAGUUGGCGGGGUAAAGGCCCACCAAGGCGACGAUCCGUAGCUGGUCUGAGAGGAUGAUCAGCCACACUGGAACUGAGACACGGUCCAGACUCCUACUGGAGGCAGCAGUGGGGAAUAUUGGACAAUGGGCGCAAGCCUGAUCCAGCCAUACCGCGUGGGUGAAGAAGGCCUUCGGGUUGUAAAGCCCUUUUGUUGGGAAAGAAAAGCAGCAGGUUAAUACCCCGCUGUUCUGACGGUACCCAAAGAAUAAGCACCGGCUAACUUCGUG
rnacentral:rRNA from 1 species